UGUUAACCUCAGAUCAGGUGAGACUACCCGCUGAAUUUAAGCAUAUUAGUAAGCGGAGGAAAAGAAAACAACCGUGAUUCCCUGAGUAGCGGCGAGCGAAACGGGAUGAGCCCAGCACCGAAUCUCGUGCCUGAUUGCAGCGGGCACCGAGAAAUGUGGUGUUAGGGAAGGGUCGUCUUUGCCCCAUGUUUACGUACGCCGAUGUCCAAGUUCGAUCGAACGCGGCUACCUCGUGCCCAUAGAGGGUGCAAGGCCCGUAGGACCGGUGCGCGGCACGUGGGAGCGGCCCUUCCCGUGGAGUCGGGUUGUUUGAGAGUACAGCCCAAAGUUGGUGGUAAACUCCACCAAAGGCUAAAUACGACCACGAGACCGAUAGCGAACAAGUACCGCGAGGGAAAGUUGAAAAGAACUCUGAAGAGAGAGUUCAAGAGUGCGUGAAACCGCUCAGGGGUAAACGAAUGGAAUUGCCGAAGCUCGAACGAGGAGAUCUCAGGGCGCUCGCUGUUGGCGGUCACCUGGGUGCGGGCGGCGUUUGUGUGGUGGUCCCCCUUGGGGUUGAUUGCCGCCGGGCGUCGUCGUCGGUGCUCAUCGAUGUGCUAGCGCGAGAGCUCGUAUGGCUCCUCCAGUAGGACGUCGCAACCUGUCGGAACGUACCCUCGUUAAGAGGCGUUCGUGCGGCCCCGGGGCUGUGCUUCCCUGUCAGUUAACAUCGCGUCGCCUUUCGCGGGGCUUGAUGCGGUGGGCAGGUUGCGGCGCGCCAUGUUCUUCGGAGCGUGGUGCGUCUCAAGCCCCUCGGGUGAGCCGUUGUUCGCCCUCCGACAGUUGGAUUCGGACGCGUACCGGUCCGGUUGAUGCUCGUUUCGGCGGGCGUCCCGGUGAGCCGGAGUGCUGGCAGCAGCGUCGGUGCGUGCGAUGUGGUUUGAGCCCUCUGGGUUCCCUGUCGUGCGUUCCCGGCGUUGGACACUUGCUGGCAUCUCUGCUGCUCGGCGGUGCGCGUCGGAGUUGGCGGCGAGUUUGGUUGUGAUUCCAUUCGACCCGUCUUGAAACACGGACCAAGGAGUCUAACAUGUGCGCGAGUCUCGGUGCUACCAAACACCAAGGCGUAGUGAAAGCGAAGGCUUGCCUUUGUGCUCGCUGAGGGGAGAUCCGUCGUUGGUUGCAAAGCCGCGGCGGCGCAUCCCCGGGGCGUCUGCGAAGGCGUCGGUUUCGGCCGGCGACCGGGCAGGCGCACCUAGAGCGCACAUGUUGGGACCCGAAAGAUGGUGACCUAUGCCCGGCCAGGACGAAGCCAGGGGAAACUCUGGUGGAGGUCCGCAGCGAUUCUGACGUGCAAAUCGAUCGUCUGAGCCGGGUAUAGGGGCGAAAGACUAAUCGAACCAUCUAGUAGCUGGUUCCGC
rnacentral:rRNA from 1 species